CCUACGGGAGGCAGCAGUGAGGAAUAUUGGUCAAUGGACGAGAGUCUGAACCAGCCAAGUAGCGUGAAUGAUGACUGCCCUAUGGGUUGUAAACUUCUUUUAUAAAGGAAUAAAACGAGGCACGUGUGCCUUUUUGCAUGUACUUUAUGAAUACGGAUCGGCUAACUCCGUGCCAGCAGCCGCGGUAAUACGGAGGUUCCGAGCGUUAUCCGGAUUUAUUGGGUGUAAAGGGAGCGUAGACGGGUUGUUAAGUCAGUUGUGAAAGUUUGCGGCUCAACCGUAAAACUGCAAUUGAUACUGGCAGUCUUGAGUACAGUGGAGGUAGGCGGAAUUCGUGGUGUAGCGGUGAAAUGCUUAGAUAUCACGAAGAACCCCGAUGGCGAAGGCAGCUUACUAAACUGUGACUGACAUUGAUGCUCGAAAGUGUGGGUAGCAAACAGGAUUAGAUACCCUUGUAGUC
rnacentral:rRNA from 1 species